rnacentral:misc_RNA from 1 species
AUGAAUUGUUGUCGAACUGUCAGUUUUGUAAAAUUCUUUUAUUUUCUCCAUGACCAGUAAUUUGUGAGUUGUGGUUUUGUAAUGGGUUGUGUUCAGUUAUUUUUCUCAUGAAUACACACAUAUUUUAACCAUGAACGGGUUAAGUUUUAGUGAACUGUGUUGCUUAUUUUGUUGUCCGCCAUGCCCAGGAAAAAUUGCGGCUAAGCUGGCUUUCCUGCCUCCAGAACCCACGUAUGCAUUCACACCUGAUGAAACUGGAUCAAAAUUCUCUUUAACACUGACUGAACGAGCAGAAUGGCAAUACUCAGAAAGAGAGAAAGAAAACAUCGAAGGCUUCUACUCGAGGACAACUAGAGGCAACAGAAUAGCUUGUCUCUUUGUUCGCUGCAGCCCCAACGCGCGCUUCACAAUAUUAUUCUCUCAUGGAAACGCCGUAGAUCUUGGGCAAAUGAGUAGUUUUUACUUAGGGUUAGGUACUAGAAUUAACUGUAAUAUAUUCAGCUAUGACUAUUCUGGGUAUGGUGUAAGUGGUGGAAAGCCUUCUGAAAAGAAUUUAUAUGCGGAUAUAGAUGCUGCGUGGCAGGCUUUGCGGACACGCUAUGGCAUCAGUCCAGAGAACAUAAUAUUAUAUGGACAAAGCAUUGGAACAGUGCCUACUGUAGACCUCGCUGCACGGUAUGAAGUGGGAGCAGUUGUGUUGCAUUCGCCUCUCAUGUCCGGCAUGCGUGUAGCUUUUCCAAAUACUAAAAGGACAUGGUUCUUUGAUGCUUUUCCAAGUAUCGACAAAAUUCCCAAGGUCACAUCUCCAGUCCUUGUUAUUCAUGGAACUGAAGAUGAGGUGAUUGACUUCUCCCACGGUUUAGCCAUAUAUGAGCGCUGCCCGAGAGCUGUUGAACCAUUAUGGGUUGAGGGCGCAGGACACAAUGAUGUCGAGCUUUUCAAUCAAUAUUUAGAAAGAUUGAAACGUUUCGUUUCAGUAGAGUUGCUCAACUGACAAAGACUGCCGGCCACGGGCCAGACAACUCAAGGUACCAAUGUUUUUCCACGUGAAGACCAAAAUCCUGCUUCAACAUUAAGCUCUGGUACAUCAAGUUCAGCGACAGAAAGACUCCUCUAGCUAGCGGGGGCCGGGCCUAGUCGGGCCGGCCCCAAUAAAAAUUCAACGAAUGCAAACGGCUCCGUCAGUCCGCAUAAUUAUAGAGAAAUUGAUAAAAAAAUAGACAAUAACGAUAUCGGAUCUAAAGAAACCAAAAGUCCUAAACCCGCAGUUCACAAUAUCAGCAUAAACGUAACGGAUACAGACUCGCCCGCGUGUGUCCGCCGCCGCAUCCACCUGCGCUCGCUCAGUGACGUGACGCCC